AAUAAUAUAUGUGUUCAUCACCCAAAACCUUGAGCAUUCAAAGCCUUAUUGGCAGUAGUCAUUUGAGAUUUGUCAUUACCCCGAAUAAUCUGUUUCUACCUUGAGGCAGAGCCCCAAUUGGAUAGAUUCAUUUUCCAUACUUAAGGACCAAAAUCAGAAAUUUUAGGUUUUACAUAUAACAUGUAGUAAUUGAAUGUUAAAGGAAAUAGUUUCUUCAGUUUUGUUUGUUGGCAUUAUCGUGCAUUCCUAAAUAACAUCUGUUAAGCAUAUGCUUAUUUGUCUCCGCUUGUCUCUGGAAUUAUUUGCUUUAAUGACUAUACAUGCGCAUGAGCCUUUAUUUACUUUCUUAUGGAGGUUUUAUUUAUGUUCUACAAUUAAUAAGCUUUAUCUGUUGUUGCAUAAACCUAUCUAUAAAUGUGAAUUUUGGUUUUUCAAAUUGAAUCUUCUGUUAUCUAGGAAAUGAGCCUUAUGGUGAAGUACCGUUUACGUCCUGGUACUUUGAAGGGUGAAUUGUUUAGAGUUCUGCUAGAGCAAGGAAUUCAUGGGUUGAAAGUUUCUGAGUUGGCGAAGUCUCAUUGCAAGUCAUUUGGGUACAUAUAUGUCACGGCAGUUUUCUAGAGGCUCAUAUGUUUGGAGAUAAGGUCAUUGUUACCACCAAGCACAAUGAUGAUGAGCAGUAUAUGUGGGAGCCGCUCCGAUUCAAUGUUUAUGAGGUUCGAUGGAGAAGGAAGGGUUGUGGGGCAUGCCCUUGGUUUUUGUGUUUUUAUUUUAUUUUAUAUUUAUACUUAAGUUUGGGUUUUUUAAAAAAAUAUGAGCUGGGCUUGUUUUGGGUUUUUUUGUGUUUUUUGUAUUGGGCUUCUUUUGAGUUAGUUAGUGGCAGUCAUGUAAUUUAUAGGAAAUUCAACACUUAUUUUGUAUGUAGUAAAUGGUUUUUGGGUA